rnacentral:rRNA from 1 species
CCCCUAGACGUUCUGGGCUGCACGCGCGCUACAAUAAUACGCACAGCGAGUAUCACCGAGCUCGAAAGGGCAAGGUAAACAAUAGAAAAGGUACUGUAAUGGUUAUAGAUCCUUGUAAUUAUUGAUCUUCAACGAGGAAUUCCUAGUAAGUAUGUGUCAUCAUCACGUACUGAUUACGUCCCUGCCCUUUGUACACACCGCCCGUCGCUCCUACCGAUUGGGUGAGCCGAUGAAACUCUCGGAUGUAGGCUAUUCAUAGCCCGCAGAAGAGAUUUGAAUCGUAGCGCUUAGAGGAAGGAGAAGUCGUAACA